rnacentral:rRNA from 1 species
UACGUAGGUGGCAAGCGUUGUCCGGAAUUAUUGGGCGUAAAGCGCGCGCAGGCGGUCCUUUAAGUCUGAUGUGAAAGCCCACGGCUCAACCGUGGAGGGUCAUUGGAAACUGGGGGACUUGAGUGCAGAAGAGGUGAGUGGAAUUCCACGUGUAGCGGUGAAAUGCAUAGAGAUGUGGAGGAACACCAGUGGCGAAGGCGGCUCUCUGGUCUGUAACUGACGCUGAGGCGCGAAAGCGUGGGGAGCAAACAGG